UGGGGAAUAUUGCACAAUGGGCGAAAGCCUGAUGCAGCAACGCCGCGUGAGUGAUGAAGGUCUUCGGAUUGUAAAGCUCUGUCUUUUGGGACGAUAAUGACGGUACCAAAGGAGGAAGCCACGGCUAACUACGUGCCAGCAGCCGCGGUAAUACGUAGGUGGCGAGCGUUGUCCGGAUUUACUGGGCGUAAAGGGUGCGUAGGCGGAUGUUUAAGUGAGAUGUGAAAUACCCGGGCUUAACUUGGGUGCUGCAUUUCAAACUGGAUAUCUAGAGUGCAGGAGAGGAGAAUGGAAUUCCUAGUGUAGCGGUGAAAUGCGUAGAGAUUAGGAAGAACACCAGUGGCGAAGGCGAUUCUCUGGACUGUAACUGACGCUGAGGCACGAAAGCGUGGGUAGCAAACAGGAUUAGAUACCCUGGUAGUCCACGCCGUAAAACNGAUGAGUAC
rnacentral:rRNA from 1 species